CAAAGGCUUGGUCCUGACUUUACUGUCAGCUUUAACUAAACUUACACAUGCAAGUAUCAGCAUUCCCGUGAGAACACCCCACAGUUUUCCAACCCGAAAACAAGGAGUUGGUAUCAGGCACAAAUAAUUUUAGCCCAUAACACCCCGCUUUAGCCACACCUUCAAAGGAAUUCAGCAGUGAUAAACAUUAAGCAAUGAGUGAAAACUUGACUUAGUUAUAAGUAUAAAGAGCCGGUAAAACUCGUGCCAGCCACCGCGGUUAUACGAGAGGCUCAAGUUGACAAUUUAACGGCGUAAAGCGUGAUUAAGAGACAUAAAAACUAAAGCCAAACGCUUUCAUAGCUGUUAUACGCACUCGAAAGAAGGAAGUUCCUCCACGAAAGUGGCUUUAAAAUAUUUGACCUCACGAAAACUGUGAUACAAACUGGGAUUAGAUACCCCACUAUGCACAGCCGUAAACUUUGAUAAAAAUUUACCUUUAUUAUCCGCCAGGGGACUACGAGCAAAAGCUUAAAACCCAAAGGACUUGGCGGUGCUUUAGACCCACCUAGAGGAGCCUGUUCUAGAACCGAUAACCCCCGUUAAACCUCACCCUUUCUUGUCAAUUCCGCCUAUAUACCGCCGUCGUCAGCUUACCCUGUAAAGGAAAUUUAGUAAACAAAAUUGGCUCAGCCCAAAACGUCAGGUCGAGGUGUAGCGAAUGAAAGGGGAAGAAAUGGGCUACAUUUCCUAAUUUAGGAAAUUAACGAAAUACUCAAUGAAACAGGGUAUGAAGGAGGAUUUAGCAGUAAAUAGGAAAUAGAGCGUUCUAUUGAAACUGGCCCUGAAGCGUGCACACACCGCCCGUCACUCUCCCCGAGCCUAAUUUUAACUUUAACUAAAACCCUAUUUCUGGUAAAGGGGAGGCAAGUCGUAACAUGGUAAGUGUACCGGAAGGUGCACUUGGAAAAAU
rnacentral:ncRNA from 1 species